GAUCAUGGCUCAGGAUGAACGCUGGCGGCGUGCCUAACACAUGCAAGUCGAGCGGGAAAUCCGUGACGGAUCCUUCGGGUGACGGAUCGUAUGGAGAGCGGCGGACGGGUGAGUAACGCGUAGGUAACCUGCCCUGUACAGAGGGAUAGCCACUGGAAACGGUGAUUAAUACCUCAUAAUGCCGGAUCUGCACAUGCAGGACUGGUCAAAGUUUUUUCGGUACAGGAUGG
rnacentral:rRNA from 1 species